rnacentral:lncRNA from 1 species
UUUACAUUCCUUACACAAUAACUUAAAGUUACGAAUAGUGUUAUGAGAAUUACCAUUUAAAAAAAAAUAGAAAAAAAUAAGGAAAUAAGCAAAAAAUAAAUAAAACUAGCAUCAUACUCGCAACUCUCUUGUGGAUCAGGUUCUGGAUCCUGAUCAUCUUGAUCUGAAAUGGUUAAAUAAGGAAUGAGCUACACUAGCGCAGUAAGAAUAUCACGACAACUCACCGACACAGAAUAAAGGUUGGUAGAAAAUCAAAACAACUAAUAGAACAUUUAAUUAAACAAAUGCAUUUAUU